CCAAAAAGGGCAGCAACGCCUUGCCCUGCUGCUCCAGCUCCAUCACUGACCACCUUCUUCAGCCCCCACCAACUUGUUCAUCAGGUUUAUGUUAAUUGGGUUUGAUAGAAUUAUGUUAAUCAAGAUUUUAUUAAUUUUUGGAUUAAAAUUUGGCACUUGGAGUGGAUUAUGGAGGUAAUUUUUGGUUCUUUGCUCAAUGUACUUCAAAGGCGUGUCGUCACUUUUGAAAGAUGCUCUGGUUUAGUGUUCUGGUCUUGAUCUUAAUGCAUCAUGCGUGUGCUACUAUUGCCCCAACUCUUUGAACUUCAACUCACUUAACUAGUAUGCAAACUCGCCAUGUGACCCAUGCUUGACACACUGCUGCUUGCACUGGUGCCCCCUGUGCCAUGAGUAUAACACUGGUCAAUUGAAGCUGCUGUUCCACUGUUAUUAACAGCCGUUAGCGGCGAUUGUUGGUCGUUGGGAAAAGGUGAAAUGUAUUGCUGCGCUACCUCAACUCUCUUCAGAACACAAGGCAGCCAGCAACCACUGAAAGCCAAUUGCCGUAUACACUCAAAAUAUUGCAGAGUGCAGGAAGUUAUGGAUUUUCUGAGUUCUGAAAGCGAAUUGAAAGUGCUGCAAAUCGGAAAUGAUGUUACACGAGAAUGUGUCUUCGGGGCUAAGGAAGCGAAGGACUACACGUUUUGUUGUAUAGUUCCUAAGUAGUAAUUAUGUAAAGGCUGGUAUUGCAUUCGUUUAUUAUUUUUGCUCAUUAUUGCAAUAAGAAGCCCAAGCUGAAUAGAAAUAACAGGUUGAGUGAUAUGAAUUAGGAUUUGUUGUUGUAGGUUCUUCUUGGUUGUGUCUCCUUUUUUGUCAUCCAUUUCAAAUGAGCCCAAAAAGAAGGGACAAGAAAUUGGAGCGUAAAGAGAAAGAACACGUUCUAGUUUGGUUUUGUUGUUCCUUUGUUUUAGUUUGUAGUUGGAAGUUGAAAUCUGAUUAUAAGAAUUGUGAGUGGAAAGGAUAAGUGGCUCAAAUUCACCUGUUAUAUUU